rnacentral:rRNA from 1 species
ACGAACCUUCGGGUUAGUGGCGGACGGGUGAGUAACGCGUGAGAAUCUGCCCUCAGGAGGGGGAUAACAGCUGGAAACGGCUGCUAAUACCCCAUAUGCCGCGAGGUGAAAUGAAUUUCGCCUGAGGAUGAGCUCGCGUCUGAUUAGCUAGUUGGUGUGGGUAAUGGCUCACCAAGGCAUCGAUCAGUAGCUGGUCUGAGAGGAUGAUCAGCCACACUGGGACUGAGACACGGCCCAGACUCCUACGGGAGGCAGCAGUGGGGAAUUUUCCGCAAUGGGCGAAAGCCUGACGGAGCAACGCCGCGUGAGGGAUGAAGGCCUCUGGGCUGUAAACCUCUUUUAUCAAGGAAGAAGAUCUGACGGUACUUGAUGAAUAAGCCACGGCUAAUUCCGUGCCAGCAGCCGCGGUAAUACGGGAGUGGCAAGCGUUAUCCGGAAUUAUUGGGCGUAAAGCGUCCGCAGGCGGCCCUUCAAGUCUGCUGUUAAAAAGUGGAGCUUAACUCCAUCAUGGCAGUGGAAACUGAGGGGCUUGAGUGUGGUAGGGGCAGAGGGAAUUCCCGGUGUAGCGGUGAAAUGCGUAUAUAUCGGGAAGAACACCAGUGGCGAAGGCGCUCUGCUGGGCCAUCACUGACGCUCAUGGACGAAAGCCAGGGGAGCGAAAGGGAUUAGAUACCCCUGUAGUCCUGGCCGUAAACAAUGAACACUAGGUGUCGGGGGGAAACGACCCCCUCGGGGUCGUACCCAACGCGUUAAAGUGUUCCCCCCUGGGGAGUACGCACCCCCAGUGUGAAA